rnacentral:rRNA from 1 species
GGGUUGUGAGGUUAAGCGACUAAGCGUACACGGUGGAUGCCCUGGCAGUCAGAGGCGAUGAAGGACGUGCUAAUCUGCGAUAAGCGUCGGUAAGGUGAUAUGAACCGUUAUAACCGGCGAUUUCCGAAUGGGGAAACCCAGUGUGUUUCGACACACUAUCAUUAACUGAAUCCAUAGGUUAAUGAGGCGAACCGGGGGAACUGAAACAUCUAAGUACCCCGAGGAAAAGAAAUCAACCGAGAUUCCCCCAGUAGCGGCGAGCGAACGGGGAGCAGCCCAGAGCCUGAAUCAGUGUGUGUGUUAGUGGAAGCGUCUGGAAAGGCGCGCGAUACAGGGUGACAGCCCCGUACACAAAAAU